UUGAACGCUGGCGGCAGGCCUAACACAUGCAAGUCGAACGGUAACAGGAAGCAGCUUGCUGCUUCGCUGACGAGUGGCGGACGGGUGAGUAAUGUCUGGGAAGCUGCCUGAUGGAGGGGGAUAACUACUGGAAACGGUAGCUAAUACCGCAUAAUGUCGCAAGACUAAAGAGGGGGACCUUCGGGCCUCUUGCCAUCGGAUGUGCCCAGAUGGGAUUAGCUUGUUGGUGGGGUAACGGCUCACCAAGGCGACGAUCCCUAGCUGGUCUGAGAGGAUGACCAGCCACACUGGGACUGAGACACGGUCCAGACUCCUACGGGAGGCAGCAGUGGGGAAUAUUGCACAAUGGGCGCAAGCCUGAUGCAGCCAUGCCGCGUGUAUGAAGAAGGCCUUCGGGUUGUAAAGUACUUUCAGCGGGGAGGAAGGGAGUAAAGUUAAUACCUUUGCUCAUUGACGUUACCCGCAGAAGAAGCACCGGCUAACUCCGUG
rnacentral:rRNA from 1 species